GCCCUUGUAGCUCAGCUGGCAGAGCGCAUCCUUGGUAAGGAUGAGGUCGGCGGUUCAAAUCCGCUCGGGGGCUCCA
rnacentral:tRNA from 1 species